rnacentral:lncRNA from 10 species
UGGUAGGCAAUAAUGCCUGGCACAAUUUCUACCAUUUACAGGCUGAUGACUCUGGGAAAGUUGCUUAGCACCUCUGAGCCUCUACUCCCCCAUCUGUAAAAUGGGUAUGGCAGAUGGUAUUUUGUUUCUUGCCCUCUCAGCAUCCAUUUCCUAUUUUUCUGAUGACAUACUUUGAUUUUCCUUCAGGUAGGAGUUUUCAGAACAGCAGCCUCAGCAUCACCUGGGAAGUUGUUAGCAAUGCAGAUUCUCAGGCCAGUCUCAGACCUUUGAUUCAGAAGCUUUGGAAUGGCAGCCUGGCAAGGACUAUUGAGGAAUGCUACAGGAAAUGGUACAACUGAACUCAUCUGGAAUAUUCCCCUGCUCAUGCCCACUGCAGGACUAUGCCUGGGAACACCCCACAGCUAAACUGAGGAGGCCAUAGCUUCCUCCUCCCUUCCAAACCACCCUUUCUCACUGGACUUCAUUUGUCACACUCACUCUCUAAAAAACAAACAAAACAAAGGCCGGGUGUGGUGGCUCAUGCCUGUAAUCCCAGCACUUUGGGAGGCGGAGGCAGGCGGAUCACUUGAGGUCAGAAGUUCGAGACCCCCAUCUCUACUAAAAAUACAAAAAUUAGCCAGGUGUGGUGGCUCACGCCUGUAGUCCCAGCUACUCGGGAGGCUGAGGCAGGAGAAUAGCUUGAACUCAGGGAGCGUAAGUUGCAGUGAGCUGAGAUUGUGCCACUGCACCACUCCAGCCUGGGUGACAAAGUGAGACACUGUCUCAAAAAACAAAAACAAAGAGCAAGGCACAGCCCAGUCAGAGCAGUUUCUACUGAUGAGGACACAAACAGGAGGCCAAGCAGUGUGCUAGCUUCGAGGUUCAUCUUCGUAGUCAGAGAGGACAGGGUUCAAAUCCCAGCUGCUUUUCUUAUUAGUUGUCUAAUCUAAUCUUAAAAUUACAUUAACUUCUCUAAGCCUCAGUUUCUGCUACUAUACAAGGAACAAUAGCUCCAAUAAACUCAAUGAAUCUUUACUGAAAGUCAACCAGGCUCAGUAUACUUUUCUAGAAACUGAGAGAUGUUAUCAAUGGGGAUACAGCAAUAAACAAGCCAGCUAUAAUACAAUCUCUGCUUAACGAAACAGAUCAUGAGGCUGAAAACAGAAAUAUGAAUACACAAAUAACUUCAUGAAAUCUUAAGUCUCUGAAAGGGCAGCAAUGUGUCCGCUUGUUGGCUACUGAAUAUCCCCCACCCAGAUCUCCCAGCACUUAACAAUGUCCUGGUACCCACUGGUACCUAAAAAAUACUGAUAAAAGAAAGGCAAGAAGCGUAAAAGUAAAAAGCCAGGGCUUCUGAGUCAGAGGCAUAAGGAGCUGAGGGCCUGGACCGGCCACUUAGUAACCGUGUAACCUUGGGCAAGUUACUUCUCUCUGAGUGUCACUUUCUCAUCUGAGGACAAAGUUUAUGGUGCUGGCGCACAAUGAUGUUUAAUGAAAAAAUAGGCAAUUUAAUGAAAUCCAACAUUUAUUGGGCACUAUGUGCCAGGCACACAUUUGAACAUAAUACGUGACACACAUACCUCCUCUAAUGGUCACAACAUCCCUAUGACAUGGAUACUGCUACUAUGUCUCCCAUUUUACAGGUGAGAAAACCGAGGCUGAGAGGCUAAAUAACUUGUUGAAAGGCUACACAAGCAGCAGAGUUAGUAUUUCAACCCAGGGAGCCUGGCUCCAGUGGGGCAAGUACUUGUCAUUACAUGUUUCUUAAAACUAAUAAAUGGAAAGAUAAUGAUCGAAAAUUGAAACGAGUCAAAUGGGGAAACCAAGGCUCAGGGAAGUUAAACAUGUUCAACAUUGAGCAAUAAUGACAGAUCCCAGAUUUGAACCAGGCAGAACGGCCUCAGGACAAAAGCUUGACGCUGCAUGGCCACGUGGUUUCUUAAGACUUAACGAAUGAAAAAAGGGAUGAAAGAAUAACAUUUCCGAAAGGCCGGACACCGCAGAAGGCACAGAAGGAGAAACUGAGGGAAAUCCAGCUUCGGAGCGCAGGGGAGUCCCUCACCCGCCCAGGCCCCAGAGCCUCGGG